rnacentral:rRNA from 1 species
GAUGAACGCUGGCGGCGUGCCUAAUACAUGCAAGUCGAGCGAACGGACGAGAAGCUUGCUUCUCUGAUGUUAGCGGCGGACGGGUGAGUAACACGUGGAUAACCUACCUAUAAGACUGGGAUAACUUCGGGAAACCGGAGCUAAUACCGGAUAAUAUUUUGAACCGCAUGGUUCAAAAGUGAAAGACGGUCUUGCUGUCACUUAUAGAUGGAUCCGCGCUGCAUUAGCUAGUUGGUAAGGUAACGGCUUACCAAGGCAACGAUGCAUAGCCGACCUGAGAGGGUGAUCGGCCACACUGGAACUGAGACACGGUCCAGACGCCUAAGGGAGGCAGCAGUAGGGAAUCGUCCGCAAUGGGCGAAAGCCUGACGGAGCAACGCCGCGUGAGUGAUGAAGGUCUUCGGAUCGUAAAACUCUGUUAUUAGGGAAGAACAUAUGUGUAAGUAACUGUGCACAUCUUGACGGUACCCAAUCAGAAAGCCACGGCUAACUACGUG